GAUGAACGCUGGCGGCGUGCCUAAUACAUGCAAGUCGAGCGAACUUUUGGGAGCUUGCUCCCAACAGUUAGCGGCGGACGGGUGAGUAACACGUGUGUAACCUGCCUGUAAGACUGGGAUAACUUCGGGAAACCGGAGCUAAUACCGGAUAACAUUGAAUACCACAUAGCCUUCAAUUAAAAGAUGGCUUUUAGCUACCACUUACAGAUGGACCCGCGGCGCAUUAGCUAGUUGGUGAGGUAACGGCUCACCAAGGCGACGAUGCGUAGCCGACCUGAGAGGGGGGUCGGCCACACUGGGACCGAGACACGGGCCAGACUCCUAAGGGAGGCAGCAGUAGGGAAUCCUCCGCAAUGGACGAAAGUCUGACGGAGCAACGCCGCGGGAGCGAAGAAGGCCUUCGGGUCGUAAAGCUCUGUUGUUAGGGAAGAACAAGUAUCGUUCGAAUAGGGCGGUACCUUGACGGUACCUAACCAGAAAGCCACGGCUAACUACGUG
rnacentral:rRNA from 1 species